AACGAACGCUGGCGGCAGGCUUAACACAUGCAAGUCGAACGCCCGAGCAAUCGGGAGUGGCAGACGGGUGAGUAACACGUGGGAACAUACCCUUUGGUUCGGAACAACGCCGGGAAACUGGCGCUAAUACCGGAUACGCCCUUUGGGGGAAAGGCUUGCCGCCGAAGGAGUGGCCCGCGUUCGAUUAGCUAGAUGGCGGGGUAACGGCCCACCAUGGCGACGAUCGAUAGCUGGUCUGAGAGGAUGGCCAGCCACAUUGGGACUGAGACACGGCCCAAACUCCUACGGGAGGCAGCAGUGGGGAAUAUUGGACAAUGGGCGCAAGCCUGAUCCAGCCAUGCCGCGUGAGUGAUGAAGGCCUUAGGGUUGUAAAGCUCUUUCGCACGCGACGAUAAUGACGGUAGCGUGAGAAGAAGCCCCGGCUAACUUCGUGCCAGCCGCCGCCGUAACAC
rnacentral:rRNA from 1 species